GGGCACGUGGUGUAGUUGGUUAUCACGCUCGCUUAGCAUUUGCAGGUUGCGAGAGGGGUCCGGUUCGAUCCCGGACGUGUCCA
rnacentral:tRNA from 1 species